rnacentral:rRNA from 1 species
UGGGGAAUUUUGGACAAUGGGCGAAAGCCUGAUCCAGCAAUGCCGCGUGUGUGAAGAAGGCCUUCGGGUUGUAAAGCACUAUUGUCCGGAAAGAAAUGGCCCUGGUCAAUACCUGGGGUCGAUGACGGUACCGGAAGAAUAAGGACCGGCUAACUACGUGCCAGCAGCCGCGGUAAUAAGUAGGGUCCAAGCGUCAAUCAGAAUUACUGGGCGGAAAGCGUGCGCAGGCGGUUGUGCAAGACCGAUGUGAAAUCCCCGAGCUUAACUUGGGAAUUGCAUUGAUGACUGCACGGCUAUGGUGUGUCAGAGGGGGGUAGAAUUCAACGUGUAGCCGUGAAAUGCGUAGAGAUGUGGAGGAAUACCGAUGGCGAAGGCAGCCCCCUGAAAUAACGCUGACGCUCUUGCACGAAAGCGUGGGGGGCAAACAGG